CGGGCUCUCGCUCUGGAGACUCUGCUGUUCCUCAGAGCAGAAGCAGCCGCGGUGCCGCUGCCAGGGACACAGUGCCCUCUCUUGGAGACUCCAAGACCAGCCCCAUGGAAGGACGCUGGAGACCAACACCCCUUGAAAAAUAUUCUGAGGCAAGUUAGAGGCACCAGGAAACCGUGCUGAGGCUCCUCUGCCUGAGGCAGAGCCAUGAGGAGGGAACUGUGAGUGACUGUGGGAAGAGCUGCUCUCAAGGAAUGCUCAUCUGCAGGUGGAAUUGGAUUGAUGUUCCCAUGACUGACAACACAACUCGCUCCGACUCCGCUCCAUCCCGGCCUCUGGCAGCUGCUGCUAUUUUCAGCCCUGUGUUUCUCAGCCCUGCCCAGCAGCAUUAUUCCAAAGGUAUUCUUGGAGGAGCAGUAGCAGGAAGGGGGAAAGCAGCCCGUGCAAUUGCACCACCCAAGGGACAUUUGAAAGCAUCCAUGGCACUGAGGGGCUGGGCUGGAGGGAAAAUUUACAUCCGUGGAGCUGGAGAACAU